rnacentral:rRNA from 1 species
CCUACGGGAGGCAGCAGUGGGGAAUAUUGCACAAUGGGGGAAACCCUGAUGCAGCGACGCCGCGUGAGUGAAGAAGUAUUUCGGUACGUAAAGCUCUAUCAGCAGGGAAGAAAAUGACGGUACCUGACUAAGAAGCCCCGGCUAACUACGUGCCAGCAGCCGCGGUAAUACGUAGGGGGCAAGCGUUAUCCGGAUUUACUGGGUGUAAAGGGAGCGUAGACGGCAGCGCAAGUCUGGAGUGAAAUCCCAUGGCUUAACCAUGGAACUGCUUUGGAAACUGUGCAGCUAGAGUGCAGGAGAGGUAAGCGGAAUUCCUAGUGUAGCGGUGAAAUGCGUAGAUAUUAGGAGGAACACCAGAGGCGAAGGCGACUUACUGGACUGUAACUGACGCUGAGGCUCGAAAGCGUGGGGAGCAAACAGGAUUAGAUACCCCAGUAGUC